CUUUAUUGGAGAGUUUGAUCCUGGCUCAGGAUGAACGCUGGCGGCGUGCCUAAUACAUGCAAGUCGAGCGAAUGGAUUAAGAGCUUGCUCUUAUGA
rnacentral:rRNA from 1 species